CAGCCUGCCCUGUCUUCCCUGUUUACCUUGUCGGCCAGCCUGGCCUGUCUCCCCUGUCUGCCAGUCUGCCCUGUCUCCCUUGUCUGUCAGCCUGUCCUGUCUCCCCUGUCUGCCUUGUCUCCCCUGUCUGCCUUGUCUCCCCUGUCUGCCUUGUCUCCCCUGUCUGCCUUGUCUCCCCUGUCUGCCUUCCUGCCCUGUCUCCCCUGUCUGCCAGCCUGCCCUGUCUCCCCUGUCUUCCUUGUCUGCCAGCCUCCCUUGUCUCCCUUGUCUCCCCUUCUGCCCUGUCUCCCCUGUCUGCCAG
ensembl:lncRNA